AUGUACGAUUUGCUUCUUCCACCCAACGAUUACAUUGUAUCCUCUCAAUCUAAUUUUGUACAGGUAUUGUUCAAACUGGGAGAUGGUCGAUUGAUUCGGCCAGAUAUUGGAAACUGGUUCUCGCAUUUUUUUUCUUCUGAAAUUCUUCAGGUGAUAGUUCUAAUGGCUUAUGGACAGGUAAUUACUUCACUUGGACUACCAGAUUUCAUUUUAUCGAUUCAUGUUUUACCAUCCAUGUUUUUACAGCAUGGAAGAUUACUCAUAAGUUAUCCACACCAUGGUUCUUCUAUUUGUUGCUGUACGCAAUAG
rnacentral:rRNA from 1 species